UCUGGGGACAUCCCUUCAAAUUCAGAGAGCUGCUGUUCUUGAGCUCCACAGAGACCAGAAAUCCCUUUCUGUAGAUGAAGUUGACUCUGUGCUGCCAGACCCUUCACUGCUCACCCCAUUCCAGUGGUACCAUUACCAUCACUUGUUUGGUGCUGUUUCUGCUGAAUUAUUUGGAGCCCACCUUCCUGCUUUAGCUUUGAAUUCUCACCAGAGAGAACCAUGCCAAGACUCGCUCAGCUGCAGAGAGCCCUUCAAUUCCAGCAGAGAGGGCAGACUGUCAUCUGAGCUCGGCCCAUCCUGCUGUCUGCACUCUCCAGAGAGUGUGCUUCAUCCUGAUAAACAGGCUGUGAGCCGAGCACGUGACUGGACGUGACUGAACUUCUUAAGGUCUUCAGAAGAAGGUGUGUCCCAGAUUAAAAGUGUGUACCACAACACCUGGAUCUGGGACUUGCUUUGUCCCAGAUGACCUUGAACUCAGAGAUCUCCUGGGAUUCACAAUCACUCUGCCUCAAGCUCUCCAUGCCAAGAUCCAGGUCAGAAACUUGUAUCUCCCAGCCUCAAGAUCAUGGUCACAGAAUGACAGGCACUUGCACACCCACCUUCUUGUACAAUGGACACGUCACACCCGGAGUCAACACAGAAAAUCAAAGAGGAAGGCAAGUGUGCUCAGGCGGGAUCAGGCUGCCUGACCAUAUGUAGCCUCGAGCACGUAGGAACCGGUGAAGAAUUUCACAAGACCACGGCCAGUUUACAGACCUCUGCUGUGCCUACGGAGGUCCUGGCUACC
rnacentral:lncRNA from 1 species